CACGUAGGGCGCAAGCGUUGUCCGGAAUUACUGGGCGUAAAGAGCUCGUAGGUGGUUUGUCGCGUUGUCCGUGAAAACUCACAACUCAAUUGUGGGCGUGCGGGCGAUACGGGCAGACUGGAGUACUGCAGGGGAGACUGGAAUUCCUGGUGUAGCGGUGGAAUGCGCAGAUAUCAGGAGGAACACCGGUGGCGAAGGCGGGUCUCUGGGCCGUAU
rnacentral:rRNA from 1 species